rnacentral:rRNA from 1 species
UCGAUUAGUUUGAUCAUGGCUCAGAUUGAACGCUGGCGGCAUGCCUAACACAUGCAAGUCGAACGGCAGCACAGCUUAAGCUUGCUUAAGUGGGUGGCGAGUGGCGGACGGGUGAGUAAUGCAUCGGGACCUACCUGAACGUGGGGGAUAACGUAGGGAAACUUACGCUAAUACCGCAUACGUCCUACGGGAGAAAGCGGGGGACCUUCGGGCCUCGCGCGGUCAGACGGACCGAUGUUCGAUUAGCUAGUUGGUAAGGUAAUGGCUUACCAAGGCGACGAUCGAUAGCUGGUCUGAGAGGAUGAUCAGCCACACUGGAACUGAGACACGGUCCAGACUCCUACGGGAGG